AUGAUGCCCAGCUUGCUGGGUGGAUUAGUGGCGAACGGGUGAGUAACACGUGAGUAACCUGCCCCUGACUCUGGGAUAAGCGUUGGAAACGACGUCUAAUACUGGAUAUGAUCACUGGCCGCAUGGUCUGGUGGUGGAAAGAUUUUUUGGUUGGGGAUGGACUCGCGGCCUAUCAGCUUGUUGGUGAGGUAAUGGCUCACCAAGGCGACGACSGGUAGCCGGCCUGAGAGGGUGACCGGCCACACUGGGACUGAGACACGGCCCAGAYUCCUACGGGAGGCAGCAGUGGGGAAUAUUGCACAAUGGGCGAAAGCCUGAUGCAGCAACGCCGCGUGAGGGAUGACGGCCUUCGGGUUGUAAACCUCUUUUAGUAGGGAAGAAGCGAAAGUGACGGUACCUGCAGAAAAAGCACCGGCUAACUACGUGCCAGCAGCCGCGGUAAUACGUAGGGUGCAAGCGUUGUCCGGAAUUAUUGGGCGUAAAGAGCUCGUAGGCGGUUUGUCGCGUCUGCUGUGAAAUCCCGAGGCUCAACCUCGGGCUUGCAGUGGGUACGGGCAGACUAGAGUGCGGUAGGGGAGAUUGGAAUUCCUGGUGUAGCGGUGGAAUGCGCAGAUAUCAGGAGGAACACCGAUGGCGAAGGCAGAUCUCUGGGCCGUAACUGACGCUGAGGAGCGAAAGCAUGGGGAGCGAACAGGAUUAGAUACCCUGGUAGUCCAUGCCGUAAACGUUGGGCGCUAGAUGUAGGGACCUUUCCACGGUUUCUGUGUCGUAGCUAACGCAUUAAGCGCCCCGCCUGGGGAGUACGGCCGCAAGGCUAAAACUCAAAGGAAUUGACGGGGGCCCGCACAAGCGGCGGAGCAUGCGGAUUAAUUCGAUGCAACGCGAAGAACCUUACCAAGGCUUGACAUACACCGGAAACGGCCAGAGAUGGUCGCCCCCUUGUGGUCGGUGUACAGGUGGUGCAUGGUUGUCGUCAGCUCGUGUCGUGAGAUGUUGGGUUAAGUCCCGCAACGAGCGCAACCCUCGUUCUAUGUUGCCAGCGGGUUAUGCCGGGGACUCAUAGGARACUGCCGGGGUCAACUCGGAGGAAGGUGGGGAUGACGUCAAAUCAUCAUGCCCCUUAUGUCUUGGGCUUCACGCAUGCUACAAUGGCCGGUACAAAGGGCUGCGAUACCGUAAGGUGGAGCGAAUCCCAAAAAGCCGGUCUCAGUUCGGAUUGAGGUCUGCAACUCGACCUCAUGAAGUCGGAGUCGCUAGUAAUCGCAGAUCAGCAACGCUGCGGUGAAUACGUUCCCGGGCCUUGUACACACCGCCCGUCAAGUCAUGAAAGUCGGUAACACCCGAAGCCGGUGGCCUAA
rnacentral:rRNA from 1 species